UUGGCUAUGUUAUUUCUUAUUGUAUAUCUCUACUUAUCUUGGGUACACUGGCUGCUUUACUGUUGUUGUCCUUUACUCGUUACGAAUACCGAUGAUAUGUGAAUGACAGGCUGCUAAUCGCAUUAUGCUAUUCGGGCCAUGUCCCUAGUUAUGAACUGUUAUUCAAUAGAAACAUGGUGAAUAGAUCAAACUAUCCAAGUUCUCUUUUAGGCUUUUCAGGGAUAUUUUGAUUAGAUAGUUCAUAAUAUUUUGUAGAGGAUUAAUAUUGGCCUGCAAUGUGUUAAUAGUGUUGAAACUCCAAUUGCUGUUGUUUAUAAUUUUAAGACAUACUUGAAGUGGCUUUUGCGUGGAAGCCUCUCUGGAAAGAGGAUUCUAGCCCCACCAAAGUAAUGUUGUUCUUCAUUAGACAGCGGGUUUGGAUGCAAUUCUGAGUCUCUGACUGCCAAUCAUCUGGAAAGAGAGGUUUUUUCCCUUCCUGCUUGAUGUUGUGUGUCCCAGCUACAAGAGGAGUCAGUGGAUCAUCAACGUUUUGACUAUUAUAUAGCUAGAGAUAAGUGGAGUCCGUUGUUUUCCUUUUCUUCUAACUUUGUAGAUGCCAUCUAUUGCUUCAACUUUCUCAAUGUAUUAGAUCAUAGAUAGAGAGAAGGUAGCAAAAGCCUCGAGGUAUGUCUAAUGAGGGAGUCUUUGGAGAUAAAGAAAUCGAUGAUGUUGAAGAUGUAUAGAUUAUGGGUGGACUUGCUAUGAAUAGAUUUAAUUUGACUCUUCUUUUUAUUUCACUUUUGGUUGUAGUUUUGUGAUUUUUGUACUCUAUAGGAUGGUUGCGUUUGGAGAAAGGACUUAAGUUUUGUUGCCUUUUCUAUCCCUUUUUUCUUCCCGUUGCAAUUGUAUGGUGACGGCCCCCUAGCAAAAAAGAUGAGAACAAAGAGUUAUGAGACAAAAUAGUGCGCCAUCAGGAUUCCAGAUAAAAUUGAUUAGAAGGGGGAAAAUAUUAAUUUUGAUUGUGGAUAUCAAGUUUGUGAUUAAGGCUAUUUUAAGUCACUGGGAAAGUUAUUUCUUGGUAAUUACAUUUUCAACAUUAAGUCCUCUUCCUCCUUUGAAAUGCUAAUUUCUUUUUAUGGGAAAUGGAAAAGACUUUUUUUCUUUUUUUUUUUUGUACUCUUGAGUGUUCCACUUUUCACUUGGAUAAACUAUAGAAUAGGGGGGAAAACUAGAGUUGUAAAGAUGGGACUAAAUUCAUUGUAUUGGUUGGACAUUCUCCAAACUAUGCCUCCUGUAAAUCCCAGAUCCCCGAAAAGCGUCGCUGUUUUUGUUUAAUGGAGGAUGUUUGACAGUUGUUCCCUCCUAAUCUAUGAGCCACAAGCAUGGGUACUUGUACAUAUGGGUACGUUGAAACAGAAUUUUAAAUAAAGUAGGGUCCAGGUUUGGGAAACAGAAAAUUUUAAAUAAAGUAGGGUCUGGGUUCAGCUAGGGUACCUCCUUGAAAAGUAUUUUGCAAUAUAAAGAAAUGCAUUAUAGCUAACGAGUAGAAAAAUGAAUGAAAAAAUAGUUGGAUGGCUUAAUUGAAUAAGUUUCUUGCUUACAAACCUCAUUUUUCAGCUAAAAGUGAAUUGCACAACUUUAAUCUCAUCACGUGAAGAAACUAUACAUUAAAGCUUAAUUACAGAAGCAUAAUAAGUACAGCAAGAACUCUCAUCAAGCUAACUGGUAUAAAAGAAUGUAAUUUUCUGCCUGGGUACAGUUCUGGGAUACUUGGUACAUUUGGUUACGGCAAAAAUUAUGUUGAAAAAGAUUGGGUACGCAUUUUGUGUACCCAGUACUAGGACAACAUGUAUUUUGAAGUACCUGUGCUUCAUAGCUCCUAAUUAACAGUGUUGGCAGGGAUGCUAGUUUAUUCCUUGGGCUUAACUUUCAUCCCUCCUAAAUGGCUUGUAAGUCCCCAUCCUCUCCCUCAUAGGAUGAUAUGUUGGUUCUUUAUGUCAGAAUUUGAUAUCAUUGUUGAAGUUGAUUGCUAGUGUUUGGUGCAACCGUGCAGGAACUUCUGAAAGGAACCAAGUUAUUCUGCACCUUUCCUUUUUUUACUUCAUUUGGAAAUAUGAUAUUGAGUCGGAAGGGUGUCACCAUAACAAACUCCUUGCAGAUCCGAAUAAACUUCUUAAUACAACUUACCGUUUAAUAGUUACCAAAAAGAAAAAAGAAAAAAGAAAACGUACCGUUUGAUAGACCUCUACCUAAUUUAAGAUUUUUGGAUCCUGCAAUAUGGUAACCUAUUCCCUAGUACUAUGGCAAAUAUGUACUUGAUUUGUUCCAUGAUCUUCUGGUUGAUUCAAACUAUUUCAUCCUUCUCAAAUUUCUGAUCGCCGACACUUCAUUGAAGUGCAAAGUUGCUAAAAAUAUCUGUGUACACAUACAUGAGUACGCUUUUCAGAAAUACAUAUCCAUUUACAUUCAAACACUGUAAUUUUUAAAACUUGUGAUAUCACCUUAUUUUCGUCCUCAUUUGGAACAAAACGAAAAGUCUGUUGAUAGUUUUCAGGCUCACUGGGUUGUGUUCU